CAGCAGUAGUAUCAAGGCAGAGGUCGUGGGAGAGGCAGUCGAGAAAGAAGUGGAGAUGUUGGCAGGUUAGUAGAUCUAGUCAGAAACGAUUAUGACAACAAAGGCAAG